rnacentral:rRNA from 1 species
CCAUAGAGCCUAAAUACUCUAAAGACACCACAACCCACCUGAACUUGAAAGCUAAGCAGGGUCAGUUCCGAUUAGUACUUGGAUGGAGGAUCACCAAUGAAUACAAGAAGCUGUAUUUC